rnacentral:tRNA from 1 species
GGAAAUAGCUCAGUGGUAGAGCACGUGCUUGACAUGCAUGAGUGUCUGGGUUCAAUCCCCAGUACUGCCA